CAAAUUUUUUUUUAACCCCCACUUACUCGAUCCACUUCCCAAGACGAUGAUCAAAACUAAUCCCCACUUCUGUCCCGAACAAAGAAGCCUCUGAUCAAAACUAAUCCCACUGCUUCUUUCCGGUGUUUCCUUCUUCAUAAUUUUUUUUUCUUUUUUUUUUUGUACAAAUUGACAGUAUUUAGCAGGGGGUCCUUCCAUUUGAAAGGUUAAACUAUCAUCGUUGUAGGAUAAAUGCUUCAGAUGGUAUUGCCAUUUUGGUUGGAUGAGAUGUUUUCUUACGACAUCUAAUAUACUUCAGGGAGCAAACCUCUAAUGCACGCUAAUUGUUUGUAGAAACUCCAAGCAGAAAUUCAUCAAAAAAAAUUUGAUCUUCAACUGAGGCUAUGAUUAAGUUCUUGAACCAGGACAACCCAGCAACAUUGAGAAGUUAGAACUACGAUGUCGGGAAACAAGAAACGGUAUCACGUAAAAUCCACUGCUAUAAUUUUAUCAUUAAAAUUGUCGUUGCUGUGGUUCAUACAAUUUUGGACUGUAAUUCAGUACAAGUGAGUUUUUGGUGCUGAGUGGCUCGGAAACAGUCCACCAUUAACGUUUUUUCCAUUGGAAUGUUAUUUAGGUGUAGGUAUACUUUGAAUUCAUGAGGUGCCAUUCAUCUUAAUAUUUUCUUUAUGUCUUAUUUAUCAUUCUGUCACCAUCAAAUAUAUGAAUCAAGUGAUGGAUUGUGUGUUACUGUCUUAUAAAGUUAUCAGGUUGGAGUAUUGUAACGUGUAGUGGGUGAUGCCCUGGACUUAACAUGGUGAUUUGGGAGGUUGUUUGGUAUCUCAAACACACGUAUGGUUUCACAAAAAUAUUAAGAAUAAAGGCCCCUACUAAAACGAAUUAUUGGUUUCAGACUACCAAAACUUAAAUUCAUCUGUUUGAUUUCCUUGCACAUCUUAAAACAAAUAUUUCUGCUCAAAGGAACUGCAAUCAUGGGUCUCUUCUUGCAUUCAUAGAUUAUGGAGUUCAGAGAUAUCAAGAAACUCCUAAAAAGAAGGUAAUGAUUUGACAAUUGGGUUAAUUGCAAUGGAGGCAAAAGAAGACUCUUCUGCACAACAGUUGCAGAUGGCCGAUGGGUCUGAAAUAUGGGAGUCCAGUGGAAGACGUGAUGACCAAAUUAGCAAUACAAUGUAGGGGAUGAGAGUCGGUGUAUAGUGAGUUGCAUUUGCAUAUGGCUAUAGAGAGCUUACCGCAAGGUACUGUCCCUUCAACAUAAGAUAUGGUCUAAACGUUUAUUUCAGAUUUUCUCUCAAAGUACCCUUCACAUAUGGGCUAUGAAAGCUUGCGGCAAGGUACCAUCACAAUCAGGUAAUACAGGCUGUAACUGGACCCUAGAUUUUGUUCAGUUCUAUUGGAUUGUGAUCUUCCUAAUGUUUAUGUAUUAUUUGUUGGACGAAAUGUGCAUGAAAGAUAUGUAUUUUCACAAA